rnacentral:lncRNA from 1 species
CUCUCACAGUGCCUCGUGUGGCGGUCGAUACUCACUUACCAGCGGAAGAUCCUCCUCUUAUUCCUUCUGAUACUGAGCCUCCUCUCGAGGAUACCCCCAUUAUCCCCCCUCCUUCUCCUGUUUCUAUGGAUAUUGACCUCUCCUCCUGCCACCUUGCCCCAGCCUCUCCUGUUCCCCCAGCCUCCCCAGUAUCUCCUCCUCACCUUGAAAACUGCAUUCUUGGCCUCGCAGCUGUUUGUCCAUCCCGCCCUGUAAUCUUUAACAGCAAUGCCUUAAGUCUUAAAAAACCCAGAACCGCAAGAAAUAAACCCACUUCACUUAACCCUUUUCAAAUACUAACCCCACCUGACCCCUCCCCUUCAAAUACCCCUCCUCACUCCCCUUCUUCCUCGCCUAAAUCACCACCAUCCAUAGCUUCCCUUAACCCUUUUGU